CAAAAGGAUUCUUUUUAACUCUUGCAAUUGAAUUUAAAUUAGCUGUAAAAGACAUGAUAUUUAUUUUGAUUGGUUUUGUUUUUGUUCUCUGCAUCUCUUGUAAGACUUCGAAUGAAUAUGCCUAACAUCAUCGCAGUUCAUCAGGUUUUAUUGGAAUUGGCUAGGAACAGGAACAAAAUCCCAUUGCCCAAGACAAUAGCUGGACCUGGUAUCGCACUCCCACCAGAGCAGGACACCUUGAUUAGCCC
rnacentral:misc_RNA from 1 species